UAGCAUGUUCAACUGUCACUUCCCACAUCUUCGUCGACAUUCCUGUCCCAAGGAUCUGCAAGGUUUCCAUGCAUACAGGUCUUUAAUUCUUUUGUUGUUG